UACGUAGGUGGCAAGCGUUGUCCGGAAUUAUUGGGCGUAAAGCGCGCGCAGGCGGUCCUUUAGGUCUGAUGUGAAAGCCCACGGCUCAACCGUGGAGGGUCAUUGGAAACUGGGGGACUUGAGUGCAGAAGAGGAGAGUGGAAUUCCACGUGUAGCGGUGAAAUGCGUAGAGAUGUGGAGGAACACCAGUGGCGAAGGCGAC
rnacentral:rRNA from 1 species